rnacentral:rRNA from 1 species
GACGAACGCUGGCGGCGUGCCUAACACAUGCAAGUCGAGCGGGAACCUCAGGAGGGGUAACCCUCUUGAGGGGAGAGCGGCGAACGGGUGAGUAACACGUGGGCAACCCGCCCCGGACACCGGGAUAACCCAGGGAAACCUGAGCUAAUACCGGAUACUCCGGCGUGAUCGCAUGGUCGCCCCGUGAAAGCUCCGACGGUCCGGGAUGGGCCCGCGGCCUAUCAGCUUGUUGGUGGGGUAACGGCCCACCAAGGCGACGACGGGUAGCUGGUCUGAGAGGACGGCCAGCCACACUGGGACUGAGACACGGCCCAGACUCCUACGGGAGGCAGCAGUGGGGGAUCUUGCGCUAAUGCGCGAAAGCGUGACGCAGCGACGCCGCGUGGGGGAUGAAGGCCCUCGGGUUGUAAACCCCUUUCGGCAGUGACGAAGCGAGAGUGACGGUACCUGCAGAAGAAGUCCCGGCUAACUACGUGCCAGCCGCCGCCGUAACAC